rnacentral:tRNA from 1 species
GGGCGCGUGGCCUAGCCAGGAUAUGGCGGCAGCCUCCUAAGCUGCAAGUCGCGGGUUCGAACUGCAACUUGCCUG